GGAGGCUGUGUCCAGAGAUGGGCAUUUCCCGCAAGGGACCUCCUGCACAGGUGCUGCAUGGCUGUCGUCAGCUCGUGUCGUGAGAUGNUGGGUUAAGUCNCGCAACGAGCGCAACCCUCGCCUUUAGUUGCCANCAUGUUUGGGUGGGCACUCUAGAGGAACUGCCGGUGACAANCCGGAGGAAGGUGNGGANGACGUCAAGUCCUCAUGGCCCUUAUGUCCUGGGCUACACACGUGCUACAAUGGCGGUGACAGUGGGAAGCUAGACAGUGAUGUCAUGCUGAUCUCUAAAAACCGUCUCAGUUCGGAUUGUACUNUGCAACUCGAGUGCAUGAAGGUGGAAUCGCUAGUAAUCGCGGAUCAGCAUGCCGCGGUGAAUACGUUCCCGGGCCUUGUACACACCGCCCGUCACACCAUGGGAGUUGGUUCGACCUUAAGCUGGUGAGCGAACCGCAAGGACGCAGCCAACCACGGUCUGGUU
rnacentral:rRNA from 1 species